GAUGAAGAACGUAGCGAAAUGCGAUACUUGGUGUGAAUUGCAGAAUCCCGUGAACCAUCGAGUCUUUGAACGCGAGUUGCGCCCGAAGCCACUAGGCCGAGGGCACGCCUGCCUGGGCGUCACACGUCGUUGCCCCCCCAUCUACGCCUUCGGGAUUGCGGGGGGGCGGAUGAUGGCCUCCCGUGCGCCUAGCCGCGCGGUUGGCAUAAAUACCAAGUCCUCGGCGACGCACGCCACGACAAUCGGUGGUUGCGAAACCUCGGUUGCCCGUCGUGUGCGUUCCUCGCGCAUCGAGGGCUCGAAAAAAUGCUCGGCUUCGGCUCGGCUUUCAACGCGACCCCAGGUCAGGCGGGGUUACCCGCUGAAUUUAAGCAUAUCAAUAAGCGGAGGA
rnacentral:misc_RNA from 1 species